rnacentral:rRNA from 1 species
UACGUAGGGGGCUAGCGUUGUUCGGAAUCACUGGGCGUAAAGGGCGUGUAGGCGGUCUGUUAAGUCGGACGUGAAAUCCCUCAGCUUAACUGGGGAACUGCGUCCGAUACUGGAUGGCUUGGAUUUGGGAGAGGGAUGCGGAAUUCCCGGUGUAGUGGUGGAAUGCGUAGAGAUCGGGAGGAACACCAGUGGCGAAAGCGGCUCUCUGGUCCAAAACUGACGCUGAGGGGCGAAAGCGUGGGGAGCGAACGGGG